AACGAACGCUGGCGGCAUGCCUAACACAUGCAAGUCGAACGAGACCUUCGGGUCUAGUGGCGGCACGGGUGCGUAACGCGUGGGAACCUGCCUUUAGGUUCGGAAUAACUCAGAGAAAUUUGAGCUAAUACCGGAUGAUGUCUUCGGACCAAAGAUUUAUCGCCUUUAGAUGGGCCCGCGUAAGAUUAGCUAGUUGGUGGGGUAAAGGCCUACCAAGGCGACGAUCUUUAGCUGGUCUGAGAGGAUGAUCAGCCACACUGGGACUGAGACACGGCCCAGACUCCUACGGGAGGCAGCAGUGGGGAAUAUUGGACAAUGGGCGG
rnacentral:rRNA from 1 species